AACGAACGCUGGCGGUAGGCCUAACACAUGCAAGUCGAACGUGAAGCCACCUUCGGGUGGUGGAAAGUGGCAGACGGGUGAGUAACGCGUGGGAACGGGCCUUUCGGUUCGGGAUAACCCAGGGAAACUUGGGCUAAUACCGGAUACGCCCCCCGGGGGAAAGAUUCAUUGCCGAAAGAUCGGCCCGCGUCGGAUUAGCUAGUUGGUGGGGUAAAAGCCUACCAAGGCGACGAUCCGUAGCUGGUCUGAGAGGAUGACCAGCCACACUGGGACUGAGACACGGCCCAGACUCCUACGGGAGGCAGCAGUGGGCAAUAUUGGACAAUGGGCGCAAGCCUGAUCCAGCCAUGCCGCGUGGGUGAAGAAGGCCCUAGGGUUGUAAACCCCUUUCAGCGGGGAAGAUAAUGACGGUACCCGCAGAAGAAGCCCCGGCUAACUCCGUGCCAGCCGCCGCCGUAA
rnacentral:rRNA from 1 species